CGGGAACUCUGAGACAGGUGCUGCAUGGCUGUCGUCAGCUCGUGUUGUGAAAUGUUGGGUUAAGUCCCGCAACGAGCGCAACCCUUAUCCUUGUUUGCCAGCGAGUAAUGUCGGGAACUCCAGGGAGACUGCCGGUGAUAAACCGGAGGAAGGUGGGGACGACGUCAAGUCAUCAUGGCCCUUACGAGUAGGGCUACACACGUGCUACAAUGGCGCAUACAGAGGGC
rnacentral:rRNA from 1 species